UAUACGGCGUACUUCUACACACCCACCCUCCUGCCUACGCUGCAGAUGGAUUUGAGCUUUACUGUCAUAUGGUCCACCGUGUUAAUAUGCAUUUUCUCGCCACUGUGGUCCUGCUGGCAGACUGGACUUUCCUCCUCACCCUGCACUGCUAUUGGUUCUGAACCCCCGUUUCCGAUUGCGGUCCGCAAGGAUACCUAGCCCCCUCCUACACAUUGACUCUAUCUACGCUCCAGAGGGGAUAGUUCGAGCGCGAACACCACCCGUUCUAUGAGCGACUGUCAUCACUUCUACAUCCUCUCGCCGAUGGCGUCCUGCUGGCAGACUACGUCCCUCCUCACCCUGCACCAGUACUGGUUCUGAACUGCUGUUCCCGAUUGCGGCCUAGAAGGAUACCUAGCCACCUCCUGCACACUGAUUCUUUGGUCUACGCUCUAGAAAUUACUUUGAGUGCGAGCACCACCCGUUCCAUAAGCGGCUGUCAUCACUUCAUCAUCUCGUUGAUGGCGUCCUGCUGGUAUAUUGGACUUCGCCUAGCGCUCUUGCACUUAAUUUUGGUAUGACAUGCACACGACAGUACUGCGACUGUUUACGACUGACCAAGAGGCCUUGUGUCAUUUCAGAUUGCCAGUGUUUGUAUCGCUUGUAGGGCAAGAGCACCAUUGUGUGGGGCAAGAGCACCAAAUGUUCCCACAUGAUCAUUUAGAAGAACCUUCUUGUCGUGACCUCAAAAGUGACUGUCUUCAGCUCGAUCGCCAGGCCUCACUCUUUCAGCGCACUCCUACCGAUCUGUGAAAUGUGUCGUACAUCUACGUCUUGGCUGUAUCCUGCAGUGUGUUAGCGGCGUGUUAAAUUCUGAAGGACUGCGUGUCAUCGCCAUCCCGCAACCGUCCAUUGGAUGUACCACUACAGUUUUUCACUGUUGCCUUUUUAAGCAGGCACAAUGUAUAAGAUUAGUAUAGCAGCCUUUUCUGCUUUGAAAGAGUGUUACGUUGCACAGCGAAUAAGUGGCGAUUCUAGCAGUUAAGAUAAUACGAAGCAGAGCAGUAAAAAUGUCUAGUUACGUGGAGACAACGCACUUAUUCAUGAGGUUUGUUGAUGUCUGCAUGAGUUUAUAUAUUUGGAGGCGAGAGUAAUAUACAUUCAUUCACAUUGUGCACUAUCGUAGUAGUAGAUUAAUAGUGUUUGUGCGUGUGUUAUCCAUCCAUGCGCGCGUUUUGGUUGAUUUAGUGUGUACAUACCUAUUCUGUGCUCCUUUUUUGGUUGAGAACACAUGUAUGACCAAGCCUCGCUGCUGUUCUUGCACCUCGAAUUCGUUUUUUUUUUGUGUAACAUUUCCGGCGUUACCGUUGCGUCUGCAAAACCCGCUAACGGUUCAUUUUUUUCCUAGUUCAUCCCGGUUGAAAUGCGCUUGGUUUGACAGUUUACUAUCUUCUAGGUAUCAGCUUUUGGAUUGGUUGAACCACUCGUUUCUUCGGUUUUCGUCCGUGUGUUGAUCUCAGUGCUCGUUUCAGCAUUCAGCUGAUUUGUUCAGGCGUCUUUCUCGUGCAGAAGGGCAGCGGAAUGGGCGAGUUGGUGUUGCAUGGUAACUAUA